rnacentral:rRNA from 1 species
UGGGGAAUAUUGCACAAUGGGCGCAAGCCUGAUGCAGCCAUGCCGCGUGUGUGAAGAAGGCCUUCGGGUUGUAAAGCACUUUCAGCGGGGAGGAAGGCGUUAAGGUUAAUAACCUUUGCGAUUGACGUUACCCGCAGAAGAAGCACCGGCUAACUCCGUGCCAGCAGCCGCGGUAAUACGGAGGGUGCAAGCGUUAAUCGGAAUGACUGGGCGUAAAGCGCACGCAGGCGGUCAGUCAAGUCGGAUGUGAAAUCCCCGGGCUCAACCUGGGAACUGCAUUCGAAACUGGCAGGCUAGAGUCUUGUAGAGGGGGGUAGAAUUCCAGGUGUAGCGGUGAAAUGCGUAGAGAUCUGGGGGAAUACCGGUGGCGAAGGCGGCCCCCUGGACAAAGACUGACGCUCAGGUGCGAAAGCGUGGGGAGCAAACAGG